GGACGAACGCUGGCGGCGUGCUUAACACAUGCAAGUCGAACGAUGAAGAAGAGAAACGCGAACUUCGGUUCAAAUUUCACUUCGGAUUAGUGGCAGACGGGUGAGUAACGCGUGAGCAACCUACCUCUUACAAAGGGAUAGCCUCGGGAAACCGUGAUUAAUACCAUAUGACACAUUCAUAAGGCAUCUUAAGAAUGUUAAAGCUACGGCGGUAAGAGAUGGGCUCGCGUCCCUUUAGCUAGUGGGUGAGGUAACGGCCCACCAAGGCGACGAUGGGUAACCGGUCUGAGAGGAUGAUCCGUCACAUUGGGACUGAGACACGGUCCAAACUCCUACGGGAGGCAGCAGUGGGGAAUCUUGCGCAAUGGGCGGAACUCUGACGCAGCCACGCCGCGUGAACGAUGAAGGUAUUCGUAUCGUAAAGCUCUGUUCUAUGGGAAGAUAAUGACGGUACCAGAGGAGAAAGCCCCGGCUAACUACGUG
rnacentral:rRNA from 1 species